rnacentral:lncRNA from 1 species
CGAUGUAAGCAAGGCCUAUGGGCGUGCUUAUGGUUGUGUAUGUUUGUGGCAUGACCUAUAACAUCAUAACUACAAUAUUAUGCCUAGUGCAGCACGUGACUCACAACUUAAACCGACAUGCCUUAAUGCCGAUCCAAAGUAGAGCGAGACUCGUCCAUAACCCGGGGCGCGAUUUGACUUAUAAAUGCAAAGACAUAAGCAAACCAUACAAAACAAUCAUCAACAUGCACACAACUAAGCUUGAAUGAGAACACAACCAAGCCCGAACCUUGUAGCUCAUCGCCCUAGUUGAAGGUUAGGGAUUCCACU